GAUGAACGCUGGCGGCGUGCCUAAUACAUGCAAGUCGAGCGAACGGACGAGAAGCUUGCUUCUCUGAUGUUAGCGGCGGACGAGUGAGUAACACGUGGAUAACCUACCUAUAAGACUGGGAUAACUUCGGGAAACCGUAGCUAAUACCGGAUAAUAUUUUGAACCGCAUGGUUCAAAAGUGAAAGACGGUCUUGCUGUCACUUAUAGAUGGAUCCGCGCUGCAUUAGCUAGUUGGUAAGGUAACGGCUUACCAAGGCAACGAUGCAUAGCCGACCUGAGAGGGUGAUCGGCCACACUGGAACUGAGACACGGUCCAGACUCCUACGGGAGGCAGCAGUAGGGAAUCUUCCGCAAUGGGCGAAAGCCUGACGGAGCAACGCCGCGUGAGUGAUGAAGGUCUUCGGAUCGUAAAACUCUGUUAUUAGGGAAGAACAUAUGUGUAAGUAACUGUGCACAUCUUGACGGUACCUAAUCAGAAAGCCACGGCUAACUACGUG
rnacentral:rRNA from 1 species